rnacentral:rRNA from 1 species
AUUGAACGCUGGCGGCAGGCCUAACACAUGCAAGUCGAGCGAGCGGCGGACGGGUGAGUAAUGUAUGGGAAUCUAGCUUAUGGAGGGGGAUAACUACGGGAAACUGUAGCUAAUACCGCGUACCAUAGGAUGAGCCCACGUGGGAUUAGCUAGGAGGUUGGGUAAAGGCUCACCUAGGCGACGAUCUCUAGCUGGUCUGAGAGGAUGAUCAGCCACAGUGUGACUGAGCCACGGCCCAGACUCCUACGGGAGGCAGCAGUGGGGAAUAUUGCACAAUGGGCGCAAGCCUGAUGCAGCCAUGCCGCGUGUAUGAAGAAGGCCUUAGGUUUGUAAAGUACUUUCAGCGAGGAGGCGUUACUCGCAGAAGAAGCACCGGCUAACUCCGUGCCAGCAGCCGCGGUAAUAC